UACGUAGGGUGCAAGCGUUGUCCGGAAUUAUUGGGCGUAAAGAGCUCGUAGGCGGUUUGUCGCGUCGAAUGUGAAAACCCGGGGCUCAACCCCGGGCCUGCAUUCGAUACGGGCAGACUAGAGUUCGGUAGGGGAGUCUGGAAUUCCUGGUGUAGCGGUGAAAUGCGCAGAUAUCAGGAGGAACACCGGUGGCGAAGGCGGGACUCUGGGCCGACACUGACGCUGAGGAGCGAAAGCGUGGGGAGCGAACAGG
rnacentral:rRNA from 1 species